rnacentral:rRNA from 1 species
UUAUUUAAUGGCUGCGGUAUUUUGACCGUGCAAAGGUAGCAUAGUCAUUAGUUUAUUAAUUGUUAACUUGUAUGAAUGGUUUGAUGAAAUAAAAACUGUCUUCAUUAAUAUAAUUAUAAUUUAAUUUUUUGGUUAAAAAGCCUAAAUUUAGUUAAGUGACGAGAAGACCCUAUAGAUCUUUAUUUUUUUAUUAUUUUAUUUAUUAAUUUAUAUUUAUAAUUUUAAUUAAAUUUGGUUGGGGUGACAUGGGGAAAUAAUAAACUCUUCCUUUUUUUUUCAUUUAUUUUUGUUAUUUUAAAUUUUUAUUAUUUGUUUUAGAAUUAGAUACCUUAGGGAUAACAGCGUAAUUUAAUUUGAGAGUUCUUAUUGACAAUUAAUAUUGCGACCUCGAUGUUGGAUUAAGAUUAAUUUUUGGUGUAUAAGUUAUAAAAUUAGGUCUGUUCGACCUUUAAAAUCUUACAUGAUCUGAGUC